CAAGAACUCCCAGAGGAGGGAUGAAGUCACAGAGGACUGGAGAACAGCAAACAUAGGCAGGAGUACGGGUGAAAUUGGGGAACAGACUGAUCAGGUUUUGCGGUGCACACAUCCAACUGCAGCCAUCAAAGGAACAUGAAACAAUCUACUGUUGUGAAGGAACAGGAAGGGAGAUGUAAGAAUAAUCCCAUCACUUAAAUGAGGAGUCAGAUGAAGAGACCUCCACUUGUGUGACUGACACAUUUUUUAUGUGAAUGAUGGAUGGCAGAAUGGCUGCCAU